rnacentral:rRNA from 1 species
UACAGAGGCCCCGAGCAUUACCCGGAAUUACUGGGCGUAAAGAGUGCGUAGGUGGUCGUGUUAGUCGCCUGUUAAAACCCCCGGCUCAACCGGGGAGCUGCAGGCGAAACGGCACGACUUGAGAGCGUGAGAGGUCUGUAGAACUCUAGGUGUAGGGGUGAAAUCCGUUGAUAUCUAGGGGAAUACCGAAAGCGAAGGCAGCAGACUGGCGCGUUUCUGACACUCAAGCACGAAAGCGUGGGUAGCGAAUGGG